GCAGUCGAGCGGUAGCACAGAGAGCUUGCUCUCGGGUGACGAGCGGCGGACGGGUGAGUAAUGUCUGGGAAACUGCCUGAUGGAGGGGGAUAACUACUGGAAACGGUAGCUAAUACCGCAUAAUGUCGCAAGACCAAAGUGGGGGACCUUCGGGCCUCAUGCCAUCAGAUGUGCCCAGAUGGGAUUAGCUAGUAGGUGGGGUAACGGCUCACCUAGGCGACGAUCCCUAGCUGGUCUGAGAGGAUGACCAGCCACACUGGAACUGAGACACGGUCCAGACUCCUACGGGAGGCAGCAGUGGGGAAUAUUGCACAAUGGGCGCAAGCCUGAUGCAGCCAUGCCGCGUGUGUGAAGAAGGCCUUCGGGUUGUAAAGCACUUUCAGCGGGGAGGAAGGCGAUAAGGUUAAUAACCUUGUCGAUUGACGUUACCCGCAGAAGAAGCACCGGCUAACUCCGUGCCAGCAGCCGCGGUAAUACGGAGGGUGCAAGCGUUAAUCGGAAUUACUGGGCGUAAAGCGCACGCAGGCGGUCUGUCAAGUCGGAUGUGAAAUCCCCGGGCUCAACCUGGGAACUGCAUUCGAAACUGGCAGGCUAGAGUCUUGUAGAGGGGGGUAGAAUUCCAGGUGUAGCGGUGAAAUGCGUAGAGAUCUGGAGGAAUACCGGUGGCGAAGGCGGCCCCCUGGACAAAGACUGACGCUCAGGUGCGAAAGCGUGGGGAGCAAACAGGAUUAGAUACCCUGGUAGUCCACGCCGUAAACGAUGUCGAUUUGGAGGUUGUGCCCUUGAGGCGUGGCUUCCGGAGCUAACGCGUUAAAUCGACCGCCUGGGGAGUACGGCCGCAAGGUUAAAACUCAAAUGAAUUGACGGGGGCCCGCACAAGCGGUGGAGCAUGUGGUU
rnacentral:rRNA from 1 species